GAAUACUCGUGACAAGUGUAGAGGGGUCACCUCUAUUAGUUUAAUCUGGCUACUGAGAGCCGUGGUGCAGGCGCGACUGACUGGUAGUGGUGUCGGUCUGGCUAGUCGGGUUCACCACAAAUGUACGCCAGAGCUGUAUGCACGGUUUUAAGCUAUACAGGCUUAUUAUAUAGGCGCAUGGGGCCUGUCUCCAUAAGGUCUGCAGCCGC